rfam:Acanthamoeba castellanii str. Neff unplaced genomic scaffold scf7180000084729, whole genome shotgun sequence.
GCUCGCGUGGCCCAAUGGAAAGGCGUCCGCCUCCUAAGCGGAAGAUUGUGGGUUCGAUCCCCACCGUGAGCG